GACGAACGCUGGCGGCGUGCCUAAUACAUGCAAGUCGAACGAGAGCGACCGGUGCUUGCACUGGUCAAUCUAGUGGCGAACGGGUGAGUAACACGUGGGUAACCUGCCCAUCAGAGGGGGAUAACAUCCGGAAACGGAUGCUAAAACCGCAUAGGUCUUCGAACCGCAUGGUUUGAAGAGGAAAAGAGGCGCAAGCUUCUGCUGAUGGAUGGACCCGCGGUGCAUUAGCUAGUUGGUGAGGUAACGGCUCACCAAGGCCGUGAUGCAUAGCCGACCUGAGAGGGUGAUCGGCCACAUUGGGACUGAGACACGGCCCAAACUCCUACGGGAGGCAGCAGUAGGGAAUCUUCCGCAAUGGACGCAAGUCUGACGGAGCAACGCCGCGUGAGUGAAAGAAAGGUUUUUCGGGAUCAUAAAAACUCUGUUGGU
rnacentral:rRNA from 1 species